GUCCUCCUAGAACACGUGCUGGGUCUGGUCUGUGGCCUGGGAACCUGUCAGGGAAGGGCAGAGCAGUUGUCCAUCACUGUGGGUGAGAUGGCAGCAGGGCAUGCUGUCUGUCUCAAUCAGUUGUGGGACAGAC
ensembl:snoRNA SNORA21B small nucleolar RNA, H/ACA box 21B